rnacentral:rRNA from 1 species
CCCUGUUAUCCUAUAUAAAAAUAAUAUUUCAAAAAUAUUAAAAAUAAUAAAUUUGACGGUAUUAACUUUUACAAAGGAAUUUGUUUCUAAAUCGAAAAUACACGAUAAACCUUACUUAAUUUAUAUUUGUAUACCACCGUAUCUAGUAAUUAUAUAAAAUUAAUUACAAAAAAAAUUUUUUUUAAAAAAUCAGGUCAAGGUGCAAUUUAAUUAAGAUGAAAUGAAUUACAUUUUUAUAUCAAACCUAUAAAUAUUGAAACAUAUUUAAAAAUAGAAUUUGUCAGUAAAAUCUUAUCAUAAUGGUUUUUUGAAAAUUAACAUUAAUAUGUACAUAUCGCCCG